UCUUCAUUUAUUUGGAUAUAAUCACACAAUAGUUAAUUUCUUUUCUACUCUCUCUUCCUAUACAAUGGCUGCUAGUUUGAGCUUGAUCAUCGGCAUUAUUGGCAAUAUAAUUUCUAUACUGGUUUUUACUUCUCCCAU